CAAGGGUGAUGAACGAAAUGU
rnacentral:siRNA from 1 species